rnacentral:rRNA from 1 species
UGGGGAAUAUUGGACAAUGGGCGAAAGCCUGAUCCAGCAAUGCCGCGUGUGUGAAGAAGGCCUUCGGGUUGUAAAGCACUUUCAGUGGGGAGGAAAGCCUUUGGGUUAAUAACCCAGAGGGGUGACGUUACCUACAGAAGAAGCACCGGCUAACUCUGUGCCAGCAGCCGCGGUAAUACAGAGGGUGCAAGCGUUAAUCGGAAUUACUGGGCGUAAAGCGCUCGUAGGCGGGUGCCUAAGUCGAUUGUGA